AGCGAACGCUGGCGGCAGGCUUAACACAUGCAAGUCGAACGGGCACUUCGGUGUCAGUGGCAGACGGGUGAGUAACGCGUGGGAACAUACCUCUUGGUUCGGAACAACACAGGGAAACUUGUGCUAAUACCGGAUAAGCCCUUACGGGGAAAGAUUUAUCGCCGAGAGAUUGGCCCGCGUCUGAUUAGCUAGUUGGUGUGGUAAAAGCGCACCAAGGCGACGAUCAGUAGCNGGUCUGAGAGGAUGAUCAGCCACAUUGGGACUGAGACACGGCCCAAACUCCUACGGGAGGCAGCAGUGGGGAAUAUUGGACAAUGGGCGCAAGCCUGAUCCAGCCAUGCCGCGUGAGUGAUGAAGGCCCUAGGGUUGUAAAGCUCUUUUGUACGGGAAGAUAAUGACGGUACCGUAAGAAUAAGCCCCGGCUAACUUCGUGCCAGCAGCCGCUGU
rnacentral:rRNA from 1 species